CAGUCGCCACGGUAAUACGAAGGGGGCUAGCGUUGCUCGGAAUGACUGGGCGUAAAGGGCGCGUAGGCGGCGAUCAAAGUCAGGCGUGAAAUUCCUGGGCUCAACCUGGGGGCUGCGUUUGAUACUUGGUUGCUAGAGUGAGGAAGAGGGUCGUGGAAUUCCCAGUGUAGAGGUGAAAUUCGUAGAUAUUGGGAAGAACACCGGUGGCGAAGGCGGCGACCUGGUCCUUGACUGACGCUGAGGCGCGAAAGCGUGGGGAGCAAACAGGAUUAGAUACCCCUGUAGUCCCUGUCUCUUAUAA
rnacentral:rRNA from 1 species